rnacentral:tRNA from 1 species
GCCUAUGUAGCACAGCGGUAGUGCACCCCCUUGGUAAGGGGGAGGUCACGAGUUCGAUUCUCGUCAUAGGCUCCA